rnacentral:rRNA from 1 species
AUUGAACGCUGGCGGCAGGCCUAACACAUGCAAGUCGAACGAGUGGCGGACGGGUGAGUAAUGUCUGGGGAUCUGCCUGAUAGAGGGGGAUAACUACUGGAAACGGUGGCUAAUACCGCAUACCAUCAGAUGUGCCCAUAUGGGAUUAGCUUGUUGGUGGGGUAACGGCUCACCAAGGCGACGAUCCCUAGCUGGUCUGAGAGGAUGACCAGCCACACUGGAACUGAGACACGGCCCAGACUCCUACGGGAGGCAGCAGUGGGGAAUAUUGCACAAUGGGCGCAAGCCUGAUGCAGCCAUGCCGCGUGUAUGAAGAAGGCCUUAGGGUUGUAAAGUACUUUCAGCGGGGAGGCGUUACCCGCAGAAGAAGCACCGGCUAACUCCGUGCCAGCAGCCGCGGUAAUUC